rfam:Pelodiscus sinensis unplaced genomic scaffold scaffold431, whole genome shotgun sequence.
GCAUUGGUGGCAUAGUGGUGUGCAUAGCUGCCUUCUAAGAAGUUGACUAGGGUUAAAUUCCCAGCCAAUGCA